CUGCUGUUUUACUAUUUCUGUCUUUCAUAUGUUACCGUAAUCAUGAAAGCUGAGUGACCUUGCAAAGAGCACAGGAUGUAUCCCUGAGGGCUGAGCGCAUAAUCAGCAGGGGUAUGCAUGAGCC